rnacentral:lncRNA from 1 species
ACUGGCCCUCACAGAGAGUGACAGUCACAGAGUGGCUCCAGGAGUCCCACCCACUUGCUCUUCCCCCGGGCAGCCGGUCAAGGAGGGCUCGUGUGGGGCAGGAGCCGCUGUCGUCUUGAGCACCGCCCUGGGGCUGUGCACAAGGUCCAGGACUCUCCAAGUCUUGAGGAGGGGCGGGGUCCUGGUUUACAGAGGCAGAAGCGGGCUCAGAGAGGCAAGUUAAGUUGCUCAAGAUCACACAGGGAGAAACAGAUGGAGCCAGGCCUGGACCUUGAGCCUGUACCCCAGUCUGCCCAGCCGCUGUCCCCUCUACUCCUGAAAGCCAACCAGCCGCGCGGCCUGUCGGGGAGCGAGGCUAACGGGCAAAGGAAACUAUGUGCGCAAGGGCCUGGAGGCCGGGAGCAGAGGCCGAAGCUUCCACGGCUUCUGUGUGGAGCACGUUUGGGGAAGACCCUCCAUCCCUCCUGUGUGCACCCCGUCCAGCCAGACCAGCAGCGCAGGCCCCCCGCAGCCAUCCUGGGAGCUCCAAGCACUGUGGGCCGUUGGGGCCCAAUCCCUGCCCAUGACCGCCUCAGUCUUCCAGCUGCACUUUGAUGCCUGGCCGGAAGGCAGAGCUCAGUGAGCUGGUGCUGCUGGGAAGCCGACUGACACAGGGUGUGGAUGCCCUGCGCACAGUGGGUGCUCCCGGUAAUGGCGCAGUGGCUCAAGAUGCCAGGGUCCCCUUGCUCCCAGGGCUGCCCCUCUCCCCACUCAUUCUGGCCCCUCCUGUGGGAGCUGGGAUGGGGCCUUGACUGAGGACAUGCCCACUUUCUCCAGAGCAAAGGAUUCGCCAAAACAGAGGUGACCAAAUGGACAGUUAUUUACUGCGCGGUGUCAGGAGUCAGGCCUGGGGCAAGAGCUUUGAGGAGAAAGGUUCCUGCCUCCGGAAUCAGGCCUGGUGGAGCUGGUGUCCCCAGCCAGGGUGGCAGGGUCCUCCCUGGGAGCGCCUUCGUUCCCUCUUCUGCAGGUGAGCAGCCUGAGGCCAGAGGGCGGUGGGAACCUGCACCGCUCGGCCCUUGUCCUCGCCGGCGAAGGAUGGAGGACUGGGAUCCAUGCGGAACACAGAGAGACCUCCAACACGCUUCCACGCGAUGCUUGGAGUCCAGGCUAUGCAAACGCAGUGGCAGGACAUCCUUUCCCACCUCCCAGGUAAAAAGCAAGAGUGCUGACAGCACGCUGUGCUGGCUGUGGGACAAGGGUCCUCUGCAUCCUCGCCACAGUGAGGCCCCUGGGCACCACUGCUGCCACGCAGUGUGUCGACAUGAAUCACACUCAAAAUUCUGCAGGAGCUUUGGUCCAGUCCUUUUACUUCCAGGAAUUUAUCUUUUUUUUUUUGAGGAAGAUUAGCCCUGAGCUAACAUCUGCCACCAAUCCUCCUCCUUUUGCUGAGGAAGACUGGCCCUGAGCUAACAUCUGUGCCCAUCUUCCUCCACUUUAUAUGUGGGACACCUACCACGGCAUGGCGUGCCAAGCAGUGCCAUGUCCACACCCAGGAUCCAAACUGGCGAACCCCGGGGCCACUGAGAAGCGGAAUGUGCGAACUUAACCACUGCACCACCAGGCCGGCCCCAGAAUUUAUCUUUAAAAGGAACGAAUAGGAUGAGUGGGCAAGCAUGUUUCUUGUGGUGAGACCUUGGAAGUCUCCCCAAGAGCACAGCCUUGCAGGCAGACAGGAGUUCCAGCUGCAGCGGGGCCACGCAUGACCUUGGGCUGCGUGACGUUGGACAACUGACUUCAGUUUCUUCACCUGGAAGGUGGGGACAAUAUCGACAUCUCCCCGCUCCAGGGCCGCACACGAGUCCACAGAGGGAACGCUCGCCCGGGGCACAGUAGGCACGCGAGGACAGGUUUAUGAAGGAGAAGCAGAGUGCUCCUACACGAUGGAUUAGAACCAUCUGUGCGCAUAGAGAGAGGGCCUCUGCAGCCUCAGUUUCCCUUCUGAACAAAUAGGAAUUGGUCUUGGGAGCUUGCUGAGUGUCUCCACCCCCUGACCCCUCCCUCGCCCCAGCUCUGACUAGCCCAGCCAGGCUGUCCCCUCCUCAGGGAAGAGUCUGGUGGGACAGGGACGGCAGUCAGUCAGUCUGUCUGUUGGCCUGUCUGUCAAUCCCAGCCCAGACUCAAUCCGGCCCCUUGCACAUGAGGGUGGGGGAGGGGACAACCACGCUCCGCCCUGGGCACUGGCCCCCUGGCUCUGGCAAGCAGGAAGGCCAGUGAAGGUGGGGUUUACCUCACACACACCUCCGGGGAGGGGCCCUUAGGGGCCAGAUCCAGUUUCUGGCAGGACUGGUUAGUCCAGGUGGCCCUUGAUGGUGACCGAGAUAAGGUCUGCCCGGGUUGGCUGGGCUGUGAAGGAAACCCAAGCUGGGCAAAGAUUGGGGGCGGCCCAGGCCCAGCCUGCUUCAGAGGUGGGAUGGGGUCUGUGCCUGUCUUGAUCCAGCUGCUGUCACCAGCUUUUGGGGACCACCCAGCUGCCUUCUCUGAAUGUCCCUUCCUGCCUGCAGUGAGAGGUAGCACAAAAAGUCCUGCGGAGGGGUAGUACGGGCCUGAGGUUGCCCAGGCAGGAGGCGCUCCAUGUAAGAGUUUGUACAGGCACAGGAUGAGGUUCUAAAGCCAAGAGACUGUACCGCCUGAGGUUGCCCAGGUAUGAGGUCGUCCAGGACUCCACAUUUUGGGUGGGCAGAGUCUUGGUGUCUCUGUCUCUGCCAGACAUUCUGGAAGCCCCCAGGGCCUAGCUGGGCCAGCUCACCUGCCUGGGCGUGGUUCCCACGGGCCAUGGCUUCCUGCUCCCUCUGACUUCAUCAGGCCCUAACCAGUCCUUCUCUAAACCCUUCCACCUCAUUUGAGGGCUGCCUCUUUCCUGCCAGGACCCUGACCAAUAAACUUCUGGGGUCUGCACAGCCCUAGGAAGCAGCUGUUCUUGCCCAUUUUAUGGGGAGGAGUGCCCGUGGAGACCCCCAUGGUAGGAGGUCUUAACUCCUGGGGACCCGGGCUCCCCUCGUUCUCAGCACAGACCUUGGGAAAGGCAGCCCACGGGUCAGAGAGCGGAAACGCCAGGUUUCGUGCAGGAAGUGUGUGUGUGAGAAGCGGUCCCAGGGAAGAGAGGGAGCCCACCUGCGGGCAAGGCAGGGUGAGGGGAAAAGCCGGCAGAAGGAGGCGGCGUCGACCCACACUCAGAGCUGUGCUGACAGCCGGGGCCAUCUGAGGAACCUCGAGACGUGCAGAAAACUGUCCACCCCAGGGACAAAAAGGGACGUAAGCCAUAGGCUCCACCCCAUCCAUCAGGGGUUGCUCAUCAGUCCCACACUUCUGGGUUCACAUACCUGGGUGCCAAGCAGGUCCCUCGGGGGCGUCCUCCUCCGCCGCGUCAGAGAAGCUCUGGGCAAGAGUGAGCUGGGCCAUUGGCCCCCAUCUGCACAAAGCUGGUCAGAGGCGGCAGGAAGCGGUCAGCACAGUGCCAUGGCUGGGGGACUCUUGAAGGCCAGGCUCCAGGACCAUGUGGGUAGAGGAUCACAUCACAGCACGGCUGUCCAGGGUAGGGGACCACGCAGGACCCGGCUGAGUGGGGAAGGGGCCUAGGCCAGCCCGCUCCUCCCACUCCUGCAGCCACAGGGGUCCUGGGGACAGCAGCCCUGUCUCCUUCAGCCAGGCAAGGAAAGCUUUCUCUGCUCUGCUGUCACCGCCCCGCCUCCUCCAGCUCUGCCCCUGACUGGGCAGCAACUUCAGUGCUGGGUGGAAGAUAUUCAGGAACCCGCAAGUAGAGAGAAACUGAUUCCUGUGGUCCCAAAGGAGGGAGAAAUGGGGGGGCCGCGGGCCGUAAGAAGGACGGCUCCACUUGGCCUUGAUGGAGAUGAGCUGGAAGGAUGCUCUGGGGGUGGGAGCCACGUGGCUGGAUGUGUGGCAGUGGGAGGCACGUGUGCGUGUGGCGUGGAUUAGGGGUGGUGCAGGGUGGCCUGAGCGCCUGGAGGAGAAGAUGGCUCGUACAUACCCUGGCUACCACCCCAGAACCCCAUGACCCCAGGGGUUUCCUGACCGGCUGCUCCAGUGACCGCAGGCGUAACCACGGCGCCUGGGGGCUCAAGUGGCUGGCGGUGCCAGGUUCCUGCUUUGGGGGUGUGACAGCGCAGUGUGGUUGGCGGGCAGGGCGGCCCCAUCCCAGCGCUGCCCAGCUCCCAUGCCUCCCAGGCCCCAUGGAGGGGAGGCCUAUUCCGUUGGCCAAACCCCACCAAGCCAAGAAGUGCCAGGUGCAGGAGGCACAGGGCCAGGCAGCCCUGGCAGGGGGAAUAGGGGAUGGGGGCUCAGAGAUGUCAUCUGAGGUCACUCUCAGCCUUGGGUGGGCCCCAGACCACUCUGAGAUGCAAAGGGAGGCUGUGACCAUGCCUUUUCUUAAAACAAAAUCAAACUGCCCUGUGGAUAUCCCACAGUCUGUAAGCAUCCUGGGACACCCACCGGGAUCAGCUCUGCACUGGGAUCCUGGGCCUUCCCGAAGACCACGCCCAGACUAUUCACAGGGUGCCAUUGAAGGGUGACUAAUGCCUUCGGAUGGGGAAAAUGUCAGGGGCUCUGGGGCAAGUGGCGUGGCCUUGAGGCAUGACCCACUGGGAAUGCUCCCAGAGCCAGGGGGGAGGGAGAGCAUUGACAGAUGGAGAAGCACCAGGCACAGGGAGGGACAGGCCUGGGGUCCCCAGCAAGUGGGGCUGAGCAGGUCCUGGCCCCACCAACUGCCUCCCAGCCUCGCUGUGCAUACAGGUGCUGGCUCCCGCCCCGCCUUGCAGGGCCUCCCACCUAGUCCUGGCUCCCAGCCGCAGCCUCCUGAGCCCUUCUCCUUUGUUCUCAUCCCAGACACAAUCCACCCUGCUCCCACUGGGCUCCCCUUUGGGAGAUGGGCACCGGGGUCAGGUCCUGCGUCAGGGCUCCAGGCCUUCCAGUGCCCUGCCCAGGCAGCAAGCGUUGGAGAAGCAGGUGGACGUAAGCUGGCCUCUUACAGCCCCUCUGUCUCUUGUUCUCUCCACAAGCCUCGUGGUGGGCUGAAUAAGGGCCCCCAAGGAUGUCCACAUCCUAAUGCUCAGAACCUGCGUGUUGCCUUAGAUGGCGAAAGGGACUCUGCAGGUGUGACUAAGGAUCUGGGCUGGGGAGAUGCUCCUGGGCUAUCCCGGCGGGCCCGAAGUCAUCACAAGGGUCCUCGGAAGAGGAGGCGGGAGGGUCAGCUUCAGAGACACGUUUGGAGAUGUUACCCUUCGGCUUUGAAGAGAGAGGAUGGGGCCACGAGCCGAGGACCGCAGGGAGCUCCCCUAGGCUCUCCCAGGGGAACAGUCUUGCCCACAGCUUGACUUUAGCUCAGUGGGGCCUGUCUUGGACUGCUGGCCUCCAGAAC